rnacentral:misc_RNA from 1 species
GAUGAAGAACGUAGCGAAAUGCGAUAAGUAGUGUGAAUUGCAGAAUUCAGUGAAUCAUCGAAUCUUUGAACGCACAUUGCGCCCCUUGGUAUUCCAUGGGGCAUGCCUGUUCGAGCGUCAUUUGUACCUUCAAGCUUUGCUUGGUGUUGGGUGUUUGUCCCGAGGGACUCGCCUUAAAGUAAUUGGCAGCCAGUGUUUGGUUUUGAAGCGCAGCACAAGUCGCGAUUCAAGGCUACACGCCCGCUUCCACAAGCCUUUUUUCACUUUUGACCACGGAUCAGGUAGGGAUACCCGCUGAACUUAAGCAUAUCAAUAAGCGGAGGA